GCGCUCGUAGCUCAACUGGAUAGAGUGUCUGACUACGGAUCAGAAGGUUACGGGUUCGACUCCUGUCGGGCGCGCCA
rnacentral:tRNA from 1 species